rnacentral:sRNA from 1 species
UGUAUAAUCAGGUGCUCCGGUUGUACGCACGAGUUCAAUCUCCACCGUCUGGUCAUAAUCGAUGAGGCGACAGAGUUCUUCAAGACAGUUGGAGUCUCAUAUUUCACUUGUGACAAUUGCAAAUUGGACCUACAUCGUUGCACCAGCUAUUGAGAUGACCAUGACAAUAUAGAGCUAAAGAAAAUGAGCAAGAUGAUCAAAAGCAACGAUCUGCGGCACAUUUCUUUGUUAAAAAUAUUGAACUGAUCUAGAUUCCUGAAGCUUAUGAUAAGCCUUCCUCUUUGGAAUGAAGCAACGAAGAAAAUAUCAGGUUUAGUACCAAUAUGAAGGUUUAGUACUGAGGUAAAAGUCUCAGCCCUUCUCACAUAGUAAUAUGUAUGCAUCUGAUAAUUUCUUUUUAAAUAAAAUUGUCUUAUCUUAAAGUGUCAAUUGCUAAAAUAUAGGAAUCCAAUCCAUUUCUAAAACUAUUAAGAAGCAUGCUAUAAGACAAUUUUGUUCUUCAAUCCAUCAUCUUCUAGGAUAUUAUUCUACGU